rnacentral:lncRNA from 1 species
GCUCGCCGCCCCAACCGCCGAGCGCUGCCGCCGCCGCAGCUGACUCGACGCCACUCCGCCCCAACCGCCGAGCGCCACCACCCCGCCGAGUGCCGGCGGCGCCACUGUGCGCCCCCGCCGCCCCAACUCGACGGCCCCACUGCACGAUCUGUGGCGCUGUGGCUACACAAACAUCACUGUGUUAGUAGCUUUGCAUGCAUCGCUAGAUGCUACCAUGCCGAUGAAUCUUGUCACUCACUCACCAUGCUGCUGCUAAAGCUAAAAAGCUUAGCUAGCUAUGGAACAUGGAAAACAUGGCAUGUUCUUGUGAAGGAUUACUACGUUUCCAUGCCAUGUGCUGCCUAAUAGCUGGGGCGGCUGGAGGUGCUGCCGCACAGUGCCGGCGGGGGUGGUGGGGCGGCGCUCGGUGGUGGCGCAGGGCAGCGGGUCGGUGGUGACGCGACGCCGAAGAAGCGCGUGGCGGCGGCGGUGGCGCUACGCCUGGAGGGAGCGAAUCGAUC